GUGGGGAAUAUUCCGCAAUGGACGAAAGUCUGACGGAGCAACGCCGCGUGAGUGAUGAAGGUUUUCGGACUGUAAAGCUCUGUUGUUUAGGACGAAAGUGCCUGUUGCAAAUAGUUACAGGUAUUGACGGUACUGAACGAGGAAGCCACGGCUAACUACGUGCCAGCAGCCGCGGUAAUACGUAGGUGGCAAGCGUUGUCCGGAAUUAUUGGGCGUAAAGAGCAUGUAGGCGGGAAUCUAAGUCUGUUGUGAAAAUGCGGGGCUCAACCCCGUAGUGCGAUGGAAACUGGGUUUCUUGAGUGCAGGAGAGGAAAGGGGAAUUCCCAGUGUAGCGGUGAAAUGCGUAGAUAUUGGGAGGAACACCAGUGGCGAAGGCGCCUUUCUGGACUGUGUCUGACGCUGAGAUGCGAAAGCCAGGGUAGCGAACGGGAUUAGAAACCCUUGUAGUCC
rnacentral:rRNA from 1 species